CAUGCGCACGAAAAAGACAGGAAUGAGCGACUGUCCACACCACUUCUUUCAUCCCUGCUGCUGGCCAGCCAUUCCCCAAACCACCUCUCUUCUUUUCAGACUGCUGGAGGAGGAAGGCUCCGCCGCACUCUUGCUAAAAGCGUCUAUUCUGUGCUGGCAAACGAAAGUAAAAGGUACUGGAGCUGUGAAGACAGACUCUGCACACCCGAUGUACAACUGGUCAGAAUUCAGAUAACAUCACAGUCACUCAGGAUGGGACAGGAAAUCACCAGCACAACACUGGUGCGGAAGGAAGAGUAAGGAAACCCCUGCAAAGGUUAAAACAGCACACAGAAGAACCCAGUGGAACACCAACACAGGUGCUUCAAAGAACUCUCUGUGUAACUCAUAAUGAAGAGGUCCUAUCACUGCUAAACUCAUUGAAGAGGCAAAUAAACAGAAUUCAAAACAAACGUCAACCUCUAAACCCAACUUCAAUGCACGGAAUUAGAGUUCCAGAGGAUAUAAAUUGACUACAUGUGAAGAACCAUUCCUUACGCUUGAUUCCUAUGUUCAAAAUGACCAAAGAAUUUUUAUUUAUACAACUUAUGAAAUACCGGGUAUCGCAUUAAUCAGCAUGGCACCUUCAAGACCAACACAGUUCACUCAAUUAUUACCGUGCCCAGAGAACCAUUAGGUUAUACCACGCCACUGACUUAAGCACUAAUAAUGAAAAGGCAAAAAGAUACUUAGAGACGCACAUGUGAGAAAGUACUUGACUUUGCCCAGGAAAGAAAUCACGACAUUACCCUUUCACUGUGCAUAGUGGAUUUCAAGACUGAAACACGAAUGUCAUCUGGCAACUCCUGCUAAAUUCUCAAGCGAAAGGACGCUUGUUUCACUUCUGACAAGCACUGUCUGAAAAUACUCUUUGUGUCUAACACUCCAGUAUGUGACAGUGGAAAACAACCUAAGUGUGCGUCCACGUUGUUGGGACUUCCAUUUGGAAGAUGCAGAUGAAAAUCUGCAUGCGCUGUGGAGAAAGGAGAACAAGGUUUACAUGACCUGUUGGAUUGCUCUGAGAGCUUUACCUCUGUGAGGGCAUGGCAGAGGCAGAAGAAGACCGGGAGCUCCAAGAUUUCCACCAGAAAUGGGGACUGUUUAUACAUCAGGAUGGAACAGAUAUCAUGGGAUGAACAAUGCAGUGGAAGGCUGGCACAGCAAAUCCCAAAGCAGAUGGCAGUGCACCAUCACCCUUCAAUCUGCAGAUCCACUGAUGUGCUAAUAAAUGAACAGCAAUGUAGCGAAAAAACUAUCUCAUUGAAGUUCUUUUUUUUCUUUUUCUUUUUUUUUUUUUUGGCCACACCUGUAGCAUGAGGAAGUUCCCAGGCCAGGGAAUGAACCCAUGCCACAGCAGCAACGGAGGCUGCCACAGUGACAACGCCAGAUACUUAACUCACUGUGCCACAAGGAAACUCCUCAUUCAAAUUCUUGUCACCCACUCAAAUACGACCGCCAACUUCACAAUACUGACAAAAUCAAAUCUGUAUACCUGAAAUUAACAGACAUAACCAAUAUAAAGCCAAUAAUCAGGUCAAUAUACAUGUGUGAGCAA
rnacentral:lncRNA from 9 species